rnacentral:rRNA from 1 species
AUUGAACGCUGGCGGCAGGCCUAACACAUGCAAGUCGAACGAGUGGCGGACGGGUGAGUAAUGUCUGGGAAACUGCCUGAUGGAGGGGGAUAACUACUGGAAACGGUAGCUAAUACCGCAUACCAUCAGAUGUGCCCAGAUGGGAUUAGCUUGUUGGUGGGGUAACGGCUCACCACGGCGACGAUCCCUAGCUGGUCUGGGAGGCUGACGAGCCAUGCUGGAGCUGGGGCACAGGCCAGACACCUACGGGAGGCAGCAGGGGGGAAUAUUGGACAAAGGGCGCAAGCCGGAUGCAGCCAUGCCGCGUGGAUGAAGAAGGCCUUCGGGUUGUAAAGUGCUGUAGGAGGGGAGGCGUUACCCGCAAAAGAAGCACCGGCUAGCUCCGUGCCAGCAGCCGCGGUAAUAC